ACGGGUGAGUAACACGUUGGAACCUGCCCCAAAGUGAGGAAUAAGCCACCGAAAGGUGGUCUAAUACUUCAUAAUAUCCAUCUCGUAUGGAUUAAAGCUUUAUGCGCUUUGGGAGGGGCCUGCGUAACAUUAGCUUGUUGGUGAGGUAAAAGCUCACCAAGGCUUCGAUGUUUAACUGGUUUGAGAGGAUGACCAGUCACACUGGGACUGAGAUACGGCCCAGACUCCUACGGGAGGCAGCAGUAAGGAAUCUUCCACAAUGGGGCAACCCUGAUGGAGCAAUACCGCGUGCAGGAUGAAGCGUUUCGGCGUGUAAACUGCUUUUAUCACCGAAGAUUAUGACUGUAGGUGAAGAAUAAGGACCGGCUAACUACGUG
rnacentral:rRNA from 1 species